GCUGCCGUGUGUUGGGCGGCUUCCCGAAAGGAGAACCAGGGAGGCUGUGACGAAGACAAGGGGGGUGUUCGGAUGUCCGCUGGCCUGGAAACCAGGUCCCGGCUCGUUUCCUCGGCUGAACAGAAAGACUUCCUGUAGGCUGAGGAAGGCGACCUCAUGUCGCCCGGGGCCUGAAAUCGCCCCAUUUCCCUGCAGCCUCCAAGCGGGGCGAACUGGAUUUCACCCUUCCCAGCCGAAGGGCCCUUCCUCCUCAGCUGCUUGGCUGUCCUGUCCUGCUGCGUGGCUGUGCGGGGACACAGAGCCCACCCAUGGGGGCAGGUUCCUGGCCACCCCUUCCCAUCUGCCCGUCAGCCUCGCCCCCGACACCCGGCGCUUCCAGGAGCCCCCUGCCCUCCCGGACCUGCUCUCAGUCAGGGUGGUAGGCGCCGGACAAGCUGCCUUGCCUGCUGCCGAUCAUCUGAGCUUCACAGCCAGCCUUCAAAUCCCCAUCCUACAGAGGAGGACACCGAGCCAUAGAGAGAUUUGAGCAGUGCACCUGCUGUCGCAGCUAGCCUCCUUCCUGGGGAGGGCAUAUUCGCAUCCUCCUGGAAGGGGUCAGAACGGGGGUUUCCUUACAAAACGUCUCAGUUAAGUAUUGAUUCAGUUAGAUCACGUCACAACCUCUGGAUAAGAACUGGGUGAAAAUACGGGGCUUGAAGACGCUGACAGCGACCUCGUGGCGUCUCAGUGAUUCUCGGAGACCCGGCUGGCGGAGCUCACACAACGCUGGCCCUCGGUUCUUCUGACUGCGAACACACUGCGCGUGUCACUGCGUAACAGACGUCAGCAGACCCCCGUGACAUAAAAAUGAAAUGAUGGACCUUUUA